UUUCCGUAGGUGAACCUGCGGAAGGAUCAUUAUCGAGUUUUGACUGGGUUGUAGCUGGCCUUCCGAGGCAUGUGCGCGCCCUGCUCAUCCACUCUACACCUGUGCACUUACUGUGGGUAUCAGAUCGUGAAGCGUGCUCUUUUACCGGAGCUUGUGAAGCGUGUCUGUGCCUGCGUUUAUCACAAACACUAUAAAGUAUCAGAAUGUGUAUUACAAUGUAACGCAUCUAUAUACAACUUUCAGCAACGGAUCUCUUGGCUCUC
rnacentral:misc_RNA from 1 species